rnacentral:rRNA from 1 species
GAUGAACGCUGGCGGCGUGCCUAAUACAUGCAAGUCGAACGAACAGAUAAGGAGCUUGCUCCUUUGGCAUUAGCGGCGGACGGGUGAGUAACACGUGGGUAACCUACCUAUAAGACUGGGAUAACUUUGGGAAACCGUAGCUAAUACCGGAUAACAUUUGGAAUCGCAUUGUUCUAAAGUAAAAGAUGCUUUUGCUCUCACUUAUAGAUGACCCCGCGCCGUAUUAGCAGGUUGGUAAGGUAACGGCUUACCAAGGCAACGAUACUUAGCGGACCUGAGAGGGGGAUCGGCCACAUGGUAUCUGGGAAACGGUCACGACUCCUACGGGAGGAAGCAGUCGGGAAUCUUACGCAAGGGAGGAAUGCCUAACGUAGCACAGCCGGUGGAGGGAUGAAGGGUUUCGGCCGGUAAAACUCUGUUAUUCGGAAAGAAGAAACGUUUAAGUAACUGUGCACAUCUUGACGGUACCUAAUCAGAAAGCCACGGCUAACUACGUG